GCCAGACUCCUACGGGAGGCAGCAGUGGGGAAUAUUGGACAAUGGGGGGAACCCUGAUCCAGCGACGCCGCGUGAGUGAAGAAGUAUUUCGGUAUGUAAAGCUCUAUCAGCAGGGAAGAAAGAAAUGACGGUACCUGACUAAGAAGCCCCGGCUAACUACGUGCCAGCAGCCGCGGUAAUACGUAGGGGGCGAGCGUUAUCCGGAUUCACUGGGUGUAAAGGGAGCGUAGACGGCCAUGCAAGCCAGGGGUGAAAGCCCGGGGCCCAACCCCGGGACUGCCCUUGGAACUGCAUGGCUGGAGUGCGGGAGGGGCAGGCGGAAUUCCUGGUGUAGCGGUGAAAUGCGUAGAUAUUAGGAGGAACACCAGUGGCGAAGGCGGCUUACUGGACUGUAACUGACGUUGAGGCUCGAAGGCGUGGGGAGCAAACAGGAUUAGAUACCCGGGUAAU
rnacentral:rRNA from 1 species